GCAGUAUUGAAGCUUCGGUGGAUUUACUGGACGUCGAGCGGCGGACGGGUGAGUAACGGCUGGGAACCUGCCCUGACGAGGGGGAUAACCGUUGGAAACGACGGCUAAUACCGCAUAAUGUCUACGGACCAAAGGUGGCCUCUACAUGUAAGCUAUCGCGUCGGGAUGGGCCCAGUUAGGAUUAGCUAGUUGGUAAGGUAAUGGCUUACCAAGGCGACGAUCCUUAGCUGGUUUGAGAGGAUGAUCAGCCACACUGGGACUGAGACACGGCCCAGACUCCUACGGGAGGCAGCAGUGGGGAAUAUUGCACAAUGGGGGAGACCCUGAUGCAGCCAUGCCGCGUGUGUGAAGAAGGCCUUCGGGUUGUAAAGCACUUUCAGCAGUGAGGAAGGUAGUGUACUUAAUACGUGCAUUGCUUGACGUUAGCUGCAGAAGAAGCACCGGCUAACUCCGUGCCAGCAGCCGCGGUAAUACGGAGGGUGCGAGCGUUAAUCGGAAUUACUGGGCG
rnacentral:rRNA from 1 species